AUUGAACGCUGGCGGCAGGCCUAACACAUGCAAGUCGAGCGGAGCGGCGGACGGGUGAGUAAUACCUAGGUAUCUGCCUGGUCGUGGGGGAUAACGUCCGGAAACGGGCGCUAAUACCGCAUACUAUCAGAUGAGCCUAGGUCGGAUUAGCUAGUUGGUGGGGUAAAGGCAUAGCAAGGCGACGGUCCGUAACUGGUCUGAGAGGAGGAUCAGGCAAACUGGAACUGAGACACGGGCCAGACGCCUACGGGAGGCAGCAGUGGGGAAUAUUGGACAAUGGGCGAAAGCCUGAUCCAGCCAUGCCGCGGGUGUGAAGAAGGUCUUCGGAUUGUAAAGCACUUUAAGUUGGGAGGCGUUACCAACAGAAUAAGCACCGGCUAACUUCGUGCCAGCAGCCGCGGUAAUUC
rnacentral:rRNA from 1 species